GCAGAGUGUCGAGCAGGUCGAGUUCAGAAUGAUAUACAGACUUUCAUUGAAAAUGAAGCAAUUUGUUAUUGUAUAUCUCUGUCUCUGCACAUUGGCGUUGUACACCAUUGUAAACGCAGAUGGCGGCCCAGUUCCAAACUGUUGUCUGAAGGUGUCUAAUACAGUUCUGCCCAUUAGUAAAAUCAAAAGUCAUUAUUCACAAAAAAAGGACGGACGGUGCCCAGUUGAUGCUGUUGUAUUCAGCACAGUUAAAGAGAAAACAGUCUGUUCAGACCCCAAAAAACCCUGGGUAAAGAGAGUAAUCAAACAACUCCAGAAGCAGAAAAUGACAACACAAGGACAGCCAAGUCCCACUGGGAAUACUUUAGUGACACUAGGAUGACAGGUUUCCGUCACUCCAGGCAUCUCACCAAAUGAAUUUUACACUUUAGUUCUGAUUCCUUCAUAAUUCUAUAUGUACUAUGCAUCAUUAAAUGCAAUGUCAAAUCCUAGUAGGUUUAUGUUAUUACUAGAUUUCCUAACAAAUGCAUUGGUCAAUAAGUACACACUCAGUAAAUAAUGAUUUUGAAUGUUUCUCCAAUUCUAAAUCCAAUCUAAUGUUGGUCUGAGUUAGAGAGGUUUGUGAAAAGUAUUGCGCAGUUACAUCUUUUGAGAACAGUGACAAGUGCAAAAAGCUUGUACAUACCAAGACAUCUUGAAGCUGGGAUAAAUCAAACCAAAAUGUGCUACAUAUACAGUACACUGAAUGGGCUUCAGUACUUAUGAGCAAGACUUUUCUAUACUAAAUGUAUUGUUCAGUUUUUUUGGACGAAUGGUAAAAUGUGUAUUGUCACAUAUUGAACUUUAAUUAAUUAUUUAAAUAAAUAGUAAAUAAUAAAUCUAUAUUUUUGUGGUUAGUUUGAAGGAAUAUAGUGUAUCUCACUAUAAUUAGUAAUGGUAAUGUUUUUUUUUCCAUUACUUCAGGUUCUAUGACACAAAUUGUAAAAUACUUAAGUAUUUGUUGUUCUCAAUAAGCUCUAUAUUGACAAUAAUGUAUUUAGUUGUUUGUUGUUAGUUGGUCACUAUGUUACAUUUGAAUGCUGCCUACUGUAUGUGUUUUGUGAAUGUAUGUAAUUAU